GAGAACCUGAACUGGACCCCAACCGUCACCCACCGAGCGAAGCUUCACUAUUGAUCUUCACUGUCAGUGAGAGAUAUAAAGCAGGUAUUCGCUAUGGUAAGAGUGACUCAGCUGAGCAAGGGUGAGUGAGAGCAUCACACCACCGGACACCUUGGUUCCUUCCCAUAGAUAUGGUGUGGAGGGACACCACUCAACAUCACCAUCCAAUACAGCGAUCCCACAGGAAACUGAACACAGAGGAGUGAAGUUGCAAUAAAUCACUAAAGACUAUGGAGUAUGGAGAAUUUUUACUAGGUCAGUCAAUCGUUAACAUUUUUUCACUGAGUGACAGUUGUCACCUCCCAUUACAUUUUGGGCAGUGUGGCACGAAACGCAGUUGCGCUUUGUCCUGAGUUGGAGUCCAGGCUUGUGGACCUUUCCGGACAACAACCUUGUGUUUUCAAUGUAAUGAUAAAAAUUGAAGAAUAUCAUAAUUUAACUUUUUUUAUUGAUUUAAUUAUUAGAUUAAUUGAAUAUCUGGAUAAAUGUAAUGGUCCCCACACAUGUUUUUUGGGGGGGUUAGAUCUCAUUGAGUUUGUCAUUAGAAUACUAGAACCCCACACAGAAAAGUGUGGGCACCCCCCGGAUUAUAGCAUUCACACUUUAUCUUUAAAGAACUUUGUUUUUCUACCUCUACAAGAGCAUCUAUUAUGUGUUAUCGACUGCAUACAUAUUGCAAACCGAGUAUUUGUGAUACAGGUGUCAGGCUGGUAGCGAAGGACUGGAGAGAAAACACAGCACAAACACACAAGAAUACAAAACACAAAUCUGCACAACACAAGGAGAAACAACAUGACGUAAUAAAAGGGAAAAAAGAAAACAAAAAAAGAAGAAGUGAAAAACUAAACAAAGAAGGAAAUAUAUGAGAUUAGACUACCACUAUCAAAUCAAAGCAAUAAGGAGAAUACAAGACUAGAAAGGAUACUAAUGAACAACUAAAGAAAACUUUACCAGUAAAUAUGAGCUACAUCAUUGAAGAUAAAAAAACAAGAGAGACAGAGAGAGCGAGAGGGAGAGAAAUAUCAAAAGCAAAAUCUACAACAACGAGACACAAUUGCAGCAAACAACAGGGCAAGACUGGAAAACAGAGCAGCAAGUCAGUAACUGUCUAGAGCACAAGACAAACCAGCCAACACAAGAGGAUGAAACGGAACAAUAUAAAGUGAGGAAGUAAACCGGCUCCAGGUGACCACAAUUAAUGGAAUGAGAACAAGACCAGGGUUAAACGAGAGCGUGACCAAGCGAAGAAACGAGGUGGAACACAUGGAAGACACAAAGACAAAGCAACGUGAAAAGACACAACAAGGAAAGAAACAUUAAACAAAGACAACACAGACAAAGUCUGCCUCCCGUGAGAACCUGAACUGGACCCCAACCGUCACCCACCGAGCGAAGCGUCACUAUUGAUCUUCACUGUCAGUGAGAGAUAUAAAGCAGGUAUUCGCUAUGGUAAGAGUGACUCAGCUGAGCAAGGGUGAGUGAGAGCAUCACACCACCGGACACCUUGGUUCCUUCCCAUAGAUAUGGUGUGGAGGGACACCACUCAACAUCACCAUCCAAUACAGCGAUCCCACAGGAAACUGAACACAGAGGAGUGAAGUUGCAAUAAAUCACUAAAGACUAUGGAGUAUGGAGAAUUUUUACCAGGUCAGUCAAUCGUUAACAUUUUUUCACUGAGUGACAGUUGUCACCUCCCAUUACAUUUUGGGCAGUGUGGCACGAAACGCAGUUGCGCUUUGUCCUGAGUUGGAGUCCAGGCUCGAGGACCUUUCCGGACAACAACCUUGUGUUUUCAAUGUAAUGAUAAAAAUUGAAGAAUAUCAUAAUUUAACUUUUUUUAUUGAUUUAAUUAUUAGAUUAAUUGAAUAUCUGGAUAAAUGUAAUGGUCCCCACACAUGUUUUUUGGGGGGGUUAGAUCUCAUUGAGUUUGUCAUUAGAAUACUAGAACCCCACACAGAAAAGUGUGGGCACCCCCCGGAUUAUAGCAUUCACACUUUAUCUUUAAAGAACUUUGUUUUUCUACCUCCACAAGUGCAUCUAUUAUGUUUUAUCGACUGCAUACAUAUUGCAAACCGAGUAUUUGUGAUACAGGUGUCAGGCUGGUAGCGAAGGACUGGAGAGAAAACACAGCACAAACACACAAGAAUACAAAACACAAAUCUGCACAACACAAGGAGAAACAACAUGACGUAAUAAAAGGGAAAAAAGAAAACAAUGAAGAAGAAGUGAAAAACUAAACAAAGAAGGAAAUAUAUGAGAUUAGACUACCACUAUCAAAUCAAAGCAUUAAGGAGAAUACAAGACUAGAAAGGAUACAAAUGAACAACUAAAGAAAACUUUACCAGUAAAUAUGAGCUACAUCAUUGAAGAUAAAAAAACAAGAGCGAAAGAGAGAGAGAGAGAGAGGGGGGGAGAAAUAUCUAAAGCAAAAUCUACAACAACGAGACACAAUUGCAGCAAACAACAGGCUAAGACUGGAAAACAGAGCAGCAAGUCAGUAACUGUCUAGAGCACAAGACAAACCAGCCAACACAAGAGGAUGAAAUGGAACAUUUUAAAGUGAGGAAGUAAACCGGCUCCAGGUGACCACAAUUAAUGGAAUGAGAACAAGACCAGGGUUAAACGAGAGCGUGACAAAGCGAAGAAACGAGGUGGAACUCAUGGAAGACAUAAAGACAAAGCAACGUGAAAAGACACAACAAGGAAAGAAACAUUAAACAAAGACAACACAGACAAAGUCUGCCUCCCGUGAGAACCUGAACUGGACCCCAACCGUCACCCACCGAGCGAAGCGUCACUAUUGAUCUUCACUGUCAGUGAGAGAUAUAAAGCAGGUAUUCGCUAUGGUAAGAGUGACUCAGCUGAGCAAGGGUGAGUGAGAGCAUCACACCACCGGACACCUUGGUUCCUUCCCAUAGAUAUGGUGUGGAGGGACACCACUCAACAUCACCAUCCAACACAUCGAUCCCACAGGAAACUGAACACAGAGGAGUGAAGUUGCAAUAAGUCACUAAAGACUAUGGAGUAUGGAGAAUUUUUACCAGGUCAGUCAAUCUUUAACAUUUUUUCACUGAGUGACAGUUGUCACCUCCCAUUACAUUUUGGGCAGUGUGGCACAAAACGCAGUUGCGCUUUGUCCUGAGUUUGAGUCCAGGCUCGUAGACCUUUCCGGACAACAACCUUGUGUUUUCAAUGUAAUGAUAAAAAUCGAAGAAUAUCAUAAUUUAACUUUUUUUAUUGAUUUAAUUAUUAGAAUAAUUGAAUAACUGGAUAAAUGUAAUGGUCCCCACACAUGUUUUUUGGGGGGGUUAGAUCUCAUUGAGUUUGUCAUUAGAAUACUAGAACCCCACACAGAAAAGUGUGGGCACCCCCCGGAUUAUAGCAUUCACACUUUAUCUUUAAAGAACUUUGUUUUUCUACCUCCACAAGUGCAUCUAUUAUGUUUUAUCGACUGCAGACAUAUUGCAAACCGAUUAUUUGUGAUACAGGUGUCAGGCUGGUAGAGAAGGACUGGAGAGAAAACACAGCACAAACACACAAGAAUACAAAACACAAAUCUGCACAACACAAGGAGAAACAACAUGACGUAAUAAAAGGGAAAAAAGAAAACAAAAAAAGAAGAAGUGAAAAACUAAACAAAGAAGGAAAUAUAUGAGAUUAGACUACCACUAUCAAAUCAAAGCAAUAAGGAGAAUACAAGACUAGAAAGGAUACUAAUGAACAACUAAAGAAAACUUUACCAGUAAAUAUGAGCUACAUCAUUGAAGAUAAAAAAACAAGAGAGACAGAGAGAGAGAGAGGGAGAGAAAUAUCAAAAGCAAAAUCUACAACAACGAGACACAAUUGCAGCAAACAACAGGGCAAGACUGGAAAACAGAGCAGCAAGUCAGUAACUGUCUAGAGCACAAGACAAACCAGCCAACACAAGAGGAUGAAACGGAACAAUAUAAAGUGAGGAAGUAAACCGGCUCCAGGUGACCACAAUUAAUGGAAUGAGAACAAGACCAGGGUUAAACGAGAGCGUGACCAAGCGAAGAAACGAGGUGGAACACAUGGAAGACACAAAGACAAAGCAACGUGAAAAGACACAACAAGGAAAGAAACAUUAAACAAAGACAACACAGACAAAGUCUGCCUCCCGUGAGAACCUGAACUGGACCCCAACCGUCACCCACCGAGCGAAGCUUCACUAUUGAUCUUCACUGUCAGUGAGAGAUAUAAAGCAGGUAUUCGCUAUGGUAAGAGUGACUCAGCUGAGCAAGGGUGAGUGAGAGCAUCACACCACCGGACACCUUGGUUCCUUCCCAUAGAUAUGGUGUGGAGGGACACCACUCAACAUCACCAUCCAACACAUCGAUCCCACAGGAAACUGAACACAGAGGAGUGAAGUUGCAAUAAGUCACUAAAGACUAUGGAGUAGGGAGAAUUUUUACCAGGUCAGUCAAUCUUUAAUAUUUUUUCACUGAGUGACAGUUGUCACCUCCCAUUACAUUUUGGGCAGUGUGGCACAAAACGCAGUUGCGCUUUGUCCUGAGUUUGAGUCCAGGCUCGUAGACCUUUCCGGACAACAACCUUGUGUUUUCAAUGUAAUGAUAAAAAUGGAAGAAUAUCAUAAUUUAACUUUUUUUAUUGAUUUAAUUAUUAGAAUAAUUGAAUAACUGGAUAAAUGUAAUGGUCCCCACACAUGUUUUUUGGGGGGGUUAGAUCUCAUUGAGUUUGUCAUUAGAAUACUAGAACCCCACACAGAAAAGUGUGGGCACCCCCCGGAUUAUAGCAUUCACACUUUAUCUUUAAAGAACUUUGUUUUUCUACCUCCACAAGUGCAUCUAUUAUGUUUUAUCGACUGCAGACAUAUUGCAAACCGAUUAUUUGUGAUACAGGUGUCAGGCUGGUAGAGAAGGACUGGAGAGAAAACACAGCACAAACACACAAGAAUACAAAACACAAAUCUGCACAACACAAGGAGAAACAACAUGACGUAAUAAAAGGGAAAAAAGAAAACAAAAAAAGAAGAAGUGAAAAACUAAACAAAGAAGGAAAUAUAUGAGAUUAGACUACCACUAUCAAAUCAAAGCAAUAAGGAGAAUACAAGACUAGAAAGGAUACUAAUGAACAACUAAAGAAAACUUUACCAGUAAAUAUGAGCUACAUCAUUGAAGAUAAAAAAACAAGAGAGACAGAGAGAGAGAGAGGGAGAGAAAUAUCAAAAGCAAAAUCUACAACAACGAGACACAAUUGCAGAAAACAACAGGGCAAGACUGGAAAACAGAGCAGCAAGCCAGUCACUGUCUAGAGCACAAGACAAACCAGCCAACACAAGAGGAUGAAACGGAACAAUAUAAAGUGAGGAAGUAAACCGGCUCCAGGUGACCACAAUUAAUGGAAUGAGAACAAGACCAGGGUUAAACGAGAGCGUGACCAAGCGAAGAAACGAGGUGGAACACAUGGAAGACACAAAGACAAAGCAACGUGAAAAGACACAACAAGGAAAGAAACAUUAAACAAAGACAACACAGACAAAGUCUGCCUCCCGUGAGAACCUGAACUGGACCCCAACCGUCACCCACCGAGCGAAGCUUCACUAUUGAUCUUCACUGUCAGUGAGAGAUAUAAAGCAGGUAUUCGCUAUGGUAAGAGUGACUCAGCUGAGCAAGGGUGAGUGAGAGCAUCACACCACCGGACACCUUGGUUCCUUCCCAUAGAUAUGGUGUGGAGGGACACCACUCAACAUCACCAUCCAACACAGCGAUCCCACAGGAAACUGAACACAGAGGAGUGAAGCUGCAAUAAGUCACUAAAGACUAUGGAGUAUGGAGAAUUUUUACCAGGGCAGUCGAUCGUUAACAUUUUUUCACUGACUGACAGUUGUCACCUACCAUUACAUUUUGGGCAGUGUGGCACAAAACGCAGUUGCGCUUUGUCCUGAGUUUGAGUCCAGGCUCGUGGACCUUUCCGGACAACAACCUUGUGUUUUCAAUGUAAUGAUAAAAAUCGAAGAAUAUCAUAAUUUAACUUUUUUUAUUUAUUUAAUUAUUAGAUUAAUUGAAUAUCUGGAUAAAUGUAAUGGUCCCCACACAUGUUUUUUGGGGGGGUUAGAUCUCAUUGAGUUUGUCAUUAGAAUACUAGAACCCCACACAGAAAAGUGUGGGCACCCCCCGGAUUAUAGCAUUCACACUUUAUCUUUAAAGAACUUUGUUUUUCUACCUCCACAAGUGCAUCUAUUAUGUUUUAUCGACUGCAGACAUAUUGCAAACCGAGUAUUUGUGAUACAGGUGUCAGGCUGGUAGGGAAGGACUGGAGAGAAAACACAGCACAAACACACAAGAAUACAAAACACAACUCUGCACAACACAAGGAGAAACAACAUGACGUAAUAAAAGGGAAAAAAGAAAACAAAAAAUAGAAGAAGUGAAAAACUAAAUAAAGAAGGAAAUAAGUGAGAUUGGACUAACUCUAUCAAAUCAAAGCAAUAAGGAGAAUACAAGACUAGAAAGGAUACUAAUGAACAACUAAAGAAAACUUUACAAGUAAAUAUGAGCUACAUCAUUGAGGAUAAAAAACAAGAGAGACAGAGAGGGAGAGAAAUAUCAAAAGCAAAAUCUACAACAACGAGACACCAUUGCAGCAAACAACAGGGCAAGACUGGAAUACAGAGCAGCAAGUCAGUAACUGUCUAGAGCACAAGACAAACCAGCCAACACAAGAGGAUGAAAUGGAACAUUUUAAAGUGAGGAAGUAAACCGGCUCCAGGUGACCACAAUUAAUGGAAUGAGAACAAGAUCAGGGUUAAACAAGAGCGUGACAAAGCGAAGAAACGAGGUGGAACUCAUGGAAGACAUAAAGACAAAGCAACGUGAAAAGACACAACAAGGAAAGAAACAUUAAACAAAGACAACACAGACAAAGUCUGCCUCCCGUGAGAACCUGAACUGGACCCCAACCGUCACCCACCGAGCGAAGCUUCACUAUUGAUCUUCACUGUCAGUGAGAGAUAUAAAGCAGGUAUUCGCUAUGGUAAGAGUGACUCAGCUGAGCAAGGGUGAGUGAGAGCAUCACACCACCGGACACCUUGGUUCCUUCCCAUAGAUAUGGUGUGGAGGGACACCACUCAACAUCACCAUCCAACACAGCGAUCCCACAGGAAACUGAACACAGAGGAGUGAAGUUGCAAUAAGUCACUAAAGACUAUGGAGUAUGGAGAAUUUUUACCAGGUCAGUCGAUCGUUAACAUUUUUUCACUGAGUGACAGUUGUCACCUCCCAUUACAUUUUGGGCAGUGUGGCACAAAACGCAGUUGCGCUUUGUCCUGAGUUUGAGUCCAGGCUCAUAGACCUUUCCGGACAACAACCUUGUGUUUUCAAUGUAAUGAUAAAAAUUGAAGAAUAUCAUAAUUUAACUUUUUUUAUUGAUUUAAUUAUUAGAUUAAUUGAAUAUCUGGAUAAAUGUAAUGGUCCCCACACAUGUUUUUUGGGGGGGUUAGAUCUCAUUGAGUUUGUCAUUAGAAUACUAGAACCCCACACAGAAAAGUGUGGGCACCCCCCGGAUUAUAGCAUUCACACUUUAUCUUUAAAGAACUUUGUUUUUCUACCUCCACAAGUGCAUCUAUUAUGUUUUAUCGACUGCAUACAUAUUGCAAACCGAGUAUUUGUGAUACAGCUGUCAGGCUGGUAGCGUAGGACUGGAGAGAAAACACAGCACAAACACACAAGAAUACAAAACACAACUCUGCACAACACAAGGAGAAACAACAUGACGUAAUAAAUGGGAAAAAAGAAAACAAAAAAAGAAGAAGUGAAAAACUAAACAAAGGAGGAAAUAUGUGAGAUUGGACUAACACUAUCAAAUCAAAGCAAUAAGGAGAAUACAAGACUAGAAAGGAUACUAAUGAACAACUAAAGAAAACUUUACCAGUAAAUAUGAGCUACAUCAUUGAAGAUAAAAAAACAAGAGAGACAGAGAGAAAGAGAGGGAGAGAAAUAUCAAAAGCAAAAUCUACAACAACGAGACACAAUUGCAGCAAACAACAGGGCAAGACUGGAAAACAGAGCAGCAAGUCAGUAACUGUCUAGAGCACAAGACAAACCAGCCAACACAAGAGGAUGAAACGGAACAAUAUAAAGUGAGGAAGUAAACCGGCUUCAGGUGACCACAAUUAAUGGAAUGAGAACAAGACCAGGGUUAAACGAGAGCGUGACCAAGUGAAGAAACGAGGUGGAACACAUGGAAGACACAAAGACAAAGCAACGUGAAAAGACACAACAAGGAAAGAAACAUUAAACAAAGACAACACAGACAAAGUCUGCCUCCCGUGAGAACCUGAACUGGACCCCAACCGUCACCCACCGAGCGAAGCUUCACUAUUGAUCUUCACUGUCAGUGAGAGAUAUAAAGCAGGUAUUCGCUAUGGUAAGAGUGACUCAGCUGAGCAAGGGUGAGUGAGAGCAUCACACCACCGGACACCUUGGUUCCUUCCCAUAGAUAUGGUGUGGAGGGACACCACUCAACAUCACCAUCCAACACAGCGAUCCCACAGGAAACUGAACACAGAGGAGUGAAGCUGCAAUAAGUCACUAAAGACUAUGGAGUAUGGAGAAUUUUUACCAGGGCAGUCAAUCGUUAACAUUUUUUCACUGAGUGACAGUUGUCACCUCCCAUUACAUUUUGGGCAGUGUGGCACAAAACACAGUUGCGCUUUGUCCUGAGUUUGAGUCCAGGCUCGUGGACCUUUCCGGACAACAACCUUGUGUUUUCAAUGUAAUGAUAAAAAUCGAAGAAUAUCAUAAUUUAACUUUUUUUAUUUAUUUAAUUAUUAGAUUAAUUGAAUAUCUAAAUAAAUGUAAUGGUCCCCACACAUGUUUUUUUGGGGGGUUAGAUCUCAUUGAGUUUGUCAUUAGAAUAGUAGAAGCCCACACAGAAAAGUGUGGGCACCCCCCGGAUUAUAGCAUUCACACUUUAUCUUUAAAGAACUUUGUUUUUCUACCUCCACAAGUGCAUCUAUUAUGUUUUAUCGACUGCAUACAUAUUGCAAACCGAGUAUUUGUGAUACAGGUGUCAGGCUGGUAGAGAAGGACUGGAGAGAAAACACAGCACAAACACACAAGAAUACAAAACACAAAUCUGCACAACACAAGGAGAAACAACAUGACGUAAUAAAAGGGAAAAAAGGAAACAAAAAAAGAAGAAGUGAAAAACUAAACAAAGAAGGAAAUAUAUGAGAUUAGACUACCACUAUCAAAUCAAAGCAAUAAGGAGAAUACAAGACUAGAAAGGAUACUAAUGAACAAAUAAAGAAAACUUUACCAGUAAAUAUGAGCUACAUCAUUGAAGAUAAAAAAACAAGAGAGACAGAGAGAGAGAGAGAGGGAGAGAAAUAUCAAAAGCAAAAUCUACAACAACGAGACACAAUUGCAGAAAACAACAGGGCAAGACUGGAAAACAGAGCAGCAAGCCAGUCACUGUCUAGAGCACAAGACAAACCAGCAAACACAAGAGGAUGAAACGGAACAAUAUAAAGUGAGGAAGUAAACCGGCUCCAGGUGACCACAAUUAAUGGAAUGAGAACAAGACCAGGGUUAAACGAGAGCGUGACCAAGCGAAGAAACGAGGUGGAACACAUGGAAGACACAAAGACAAAGCAACAUGAAAAGACACAACAAGGAAAGAAACAUUAAACAAAGACAACACAGACAAAGUCUGCCUCCCGUGAGAACCUGAACUGGACCCCAACCGUCACCCACCGAGCGAAGCUUCACUAUUGAUCUUCACUGUCAGUGAGAGAUAUAAAGCAGGUAUUCGCUAUGGUAAGAGUGACUCAGCUGAGCAAGGGUGAGUGAGAGCAUCACACCACCGGACACCUUGGUUCCUUCCCAUAGAUAUGGUGUGGAGGGACACCACUCAACAUCACCAUCCAACACAGCGAUCCCACAGGAAACUGAACACAGAGGAGUGAAGCUGCAAUAAGUCACUAAAGACUAUGGAGUAUGGAGAAUUUUUACCAGGGCAGUCGAUCGUUAACAUUUUUUCACUGAGUGACAGUUGUCACCUACCAUUACAUUUUGGGCAGUGUGGCACAAAACGCAGUUGCGCUUUGUCCUGAGUUUGAGUCCAGGCUCAUGGACCUUUCCGGACAACAACCUUGUGUUUUCAAUGUAAUGAUAAAAAUCGAAGAAUAUCAUAAUUUAACUUGUUUUAUUUAUUUAAUUAUUAGAUUAAUUGAAUAUCUGGAUAAAUUUAAUGGUCCCCACACAUUUCCUUUGGGGGGGGGGGGGGUAUAUCUCAUUGAGUUUGUCAUUAGAAUAGUAGAACACCACACAGAAAAGUGUGGGCAACCCCCGGAUUAUAGCAUUCACACUUUAUCUUUAAAGAACUUUGUUUUUCUACCUCCACAAGUGCAUCUAUGAUGUUUUAUCGACUGCAUACAUAUUGCAAACCGAGUAUUUGUGAUACAGGUGUCAGGCUGGUAGCGAAGGACUGGAGAGAAAACACAGCACAAACACACAAGAAUACAAAACACAAAUCUGCACAACACAAGGAGAAACAACAUGACGUAAUAAAUGGGAAAAAAGAAAACAAAAAAAGAAGAAGUGAAAAACUAAACAAAGAAGGAAAUAUAUGAGAUUAGACUACCACUAUCAAAUCAAAGCAAUAAGGAGAAUACAAGACUAGAAAGGAUACUAAUGAACAACUAAAGAAAACUUUACCAGUAAAUAUGAGCUACAUCAUUGAAGAUAAAAAAACAAGAGAGACAAAGAGAGAGAGAGGGAGAGAAAUAUCAAAAGCAAAAUCUACAACAACGAGACACAAUUGCAGCAAACAACAGGGCAAGACUGGAAAACAGAGCAGCAAGUCAGUAACUGUCUAGAGCACAAGACAAACCAGCCAACACAAGAGGAUGAAACGGAACAAUAUAAAGUGAGGAAGUAAACCGGCUCCAGGUGACCACAAUUAAUGGAAUGAGAACAAGACCAGGGUUAAACGAGAGCGUGACCAAGCGAAGAAACGAGGUGGAACACAUGGAAGACACAAAGACAAAGCAACGUGAAAAGACACAACAAGGAAAGAAACAUUAAACAAAGACAACACAGACAAAGUCUGCCUCCCGUGAGAACCUGAACUGGACCCCAACCGUCACCCACCGAGCGAAGCUUCACUAUUGAUCUUCACUGUCAGUGAGAGAUAUAAAGCAGGUAUUCGCUAUGGUAAGAGUGACUCAGCUGAGCAAGGGUGAGUGAGAGCAUCACACCACCGGACACCUUGGUUCCUUCCCAUAGAUAUGGUGUGGAGGGACACCACUCAACAUCACCAUCCAACACAGCGAUCCCACAGGAAACUGAACACAGAGGAGUGAAGCUGCAAUAAGUCACUAAAGACUAUGGAGUAUGGAGAAUUUUUACCAGGGCAGUCAAUCGUUAACAUUUUUUCACUGAGUGACAGUUGUCACCUCCCAUUACAUUUUGGGCAGUGUGGCACAAAACGCAGUUGCGCUUUGUCCUGAGUUUGAGUCCAGGCUCGUGGACCUUUCCGGACAACAACCUUGUGUUUUCAAUGUAAUGAUAAAAAUUGAAGAAUAUCAUAAUUGAACUUUUUUAUUUAAUAAAUUAUUAGAUUAAUUGAAUAUAUAGAUAAAUGUAUUGUUUGGGGGAGGGGGGUAGAUCUCAUUGAGUUUGUCAUUUGAAUAGUAGAACCCCACACAAAAAGUGUGGGCACCCCUGGAUUAAAGCAUUCACACUUUAUCUUUAAAGAACUUAGUUUUUCUACCUAAACAAGUGCAUCUAUUAUGUUUGAUCGACUGCAUACAUAAUGCAAACAGAGUAUUUGUGAUGCAGGUGUCAGGCUGGUAGAGCAGGACUGUAGGGAAAACACAGCACAAACACACAAGAACACAAAACACAACUCGGCAAAACACAAGGAGAAACAACCUGUCAUAAUAAAAGGGAAAAAAAUAAAACAAGAAAAAGAAGAAAUGAAAAACUACAACAAGGGGACACAAUCGCAGCAAACAACAGGGCAAGACUGGAAAACAGAGCAGCAAGUCAGUAACUGUCUCUAGAGCACAAGACAAACCAGCCAACACAAGAGGAAGAAAUGGAACACAAUCAAAGCAAAUAACAGGGCAAGACUGGAAAACACAGCAGCAAGUCAGUAACUGUCUCUAGAGCACAAGACAAACCAGCCAACACAAGAGGAAGAAACGGAACAAUAUAAAGGGAAAAUGGAAAAUGGGGGCCAGGUGACCACAAUUAAUGAAAUGAGAACAAGACAAGGGUUAAACAAAAGAGCCUGACCAAUGGAAGAAAGGAGGUGGAAUACAUGGAAGACACAAAGAUAAAGCACUGUGUAAAGAUAAGACAAGAAUGAAAGAAACAUUAAACAGGCAUAAUCUGCUGGGAAUGGAGAAAGUUCCAGGCUUUCACAAAAAGCUAGACCACGAUUAUCAAAAGUAUGGGAAUACUUUAAACUAGGGAUAUGCCGGUAUCAAAUUUUCUUGUUGCGGUUAAUUGAUAAUGCUUUUAUCAUGGUGUACGGCAUUAUCACUGUAUUGAAAUUUUGUUUUUAAAAAGUGGUCAUAAUACAGUAUAACAGGUUAAAUAACUUUUCUUAUAACAAAAAUAACUAAACAUUUAAAACAAAGAAAUACAUAAAAAUAUAUAAAAGUUAAAUGUUUUACACAUUAAAAUGCAAAAGAACAAUAAAAACCAAUAGGUAUCACUUUAGCCUAUUAAGUCUAAAUAUUUCAGUAGCUGGCUCUGUAAUAAACGCCACAGGAAAAACACAAAUCUGUAUGGUUAUUUAAGAUUAUUUAAAUAUGGUUUAGAAAGUAACAGAUGCUUUAUUUACUGUGUUUACAGGGUACGGGCUGCAUUUAGCGCUAUCUGCUUUCAGAGAGUGAAUGUGUUUUCAUUGCUUUCCAUGCGCUUAUCAUGCGUGUUUGUUUACAUCAAAGCGCAUGAGCUCUUUCAAGCAUACAGCAAUGUUGUGCAUUUUAAGCAGCUGAUGGGAAUACUAUUCUUAAAAUGCAUUCCAAAUUUGUAAUAAUUUGUAAUGUAUAUUUAUUCACAGUAUUUAGAAUUGCCCACGAUAACAAUAUUGUGAAUAUUAAUCACCGCAAUAUGCCGACUUACCGAAUACCGGCACAAGUCUACUUUAAACAGAUGCAAAAUAAAAUGGUCCUUUGUUCCCUUUGCAAAACAGAAAUGGCUUACCAUUGAAGCACAACUACGAUGCACAAGCACCUCAGAAGAAAACAUCCUGCUGCUCUCCGACCUCAAAAGGACGAGCCAUCUGUAAACUGAACUGGACCCUAACAGUCACCCACUGAGCCAAGCUUCACUAUUGAUCUUCACUGUCAGUGAGAGAUAUAAAGCAGGUAUUCGCUAUGGUAAGAGUGACUCAGCUGAGCAAGGGUGAGUGAGAGCAUCACACCACCGGACACCUUGGUUCCUUCCCAUAGAUAUGGUGUGGAGGGACACCACUCAACAUCAUCAUCCAAGACAGCGAACCAGCAGGAAACUGAACACAGAGGAGUGAAGCUGUAAUGCAAAGACUAUCGACACUACCGAAGAUUACCGAUACUGGCUUCUGAUAGGAUGUCAUGCUUUUCUAUCUAAUUAAUAAGUCACCACAGUUUAUAGAAUAUGAAGUAUUUCUACUAGGACAGUUAAUCAUUAAAAUAUUUUAAUCUAAUCAACUCCACAGAGUGACAAUUAAUUAAUUGCAUAUUAAUCACACAUCAAAUCUGUCUAAACAAGUGUGUGUGGGUGCAUUACCCCAUAAUUAUUUUUUUUAUUUUAUUUUUUUACUAAUAUAUUUUUUUACAUAAUGUACAAGCUUUCUAAUCUUUUUGUAUUUUAUCUGUUUUCUUUUAAUUUAUUAUAUUAUUUAAAAACCCUUGCUACGUGUACUGCAUUAAGCUAACUGAGAAAUGUUAUAGCACUUACAUAUCAUUGCUCUUUUUUUGUUUUUGAUUGCUUUCAUUAUCCUCAUUUGUAAGUCGCUUUGGAUAAAAGUGUCUGCUAAAUGUAAUUGUAAUGUAAUGUAAAUAAAAGUUGUUACAGUUUUUACUGUGAUCCGGCUGACUCGAAAAAUG